rnacentral:misc_RNA from 1 species
AAUUCUCAACUCUACCGGUUUUCUGUGUAGAGAUUGGAUAUGGAGGUCGUGCAGAGCGCUCACGCGUCCUGCUCCUCUUAAAUGGAUUAGCGAGUUCACUGGACUCUGUCUAUUGGUGUGAUAAUUAUCUACGCCGUGGAUUGGGUCUAGACUAGCUUCUAACCGUCCGCAAGGACAACUCUUGACA